rnacentral:lncRNA from 1 species
UCACUUUGACAGUAGAAACUGACAGAAGAGCGGGAAAUUGGGCAAAAAACAGAAAUCCGAAUUUUCAGAAGUCCAAUUCCAACUCAAUCACUACCAACAUAAAACCAAGAGCCACGAAAGAGCUUCUCAUCCAAAAAAUUCCAAUUGCAAUUAAAUUCAACAUCAAAAGAGGAGUCAAACACCAAAUCAAAAAGGGAUUUUGAAACCCUAGAUGGAUGAAAUUCUUCAGCUAUAAAAGGAGAGCCUCCAAACCAGCAGAGCAUCUUCUGAUCAUCUCUCAGCUUCAGAAACUCUCCAGAAACGCAGCAAUCUCUUCUUUCUUUUUUUUCUUUUGUGAUUUUGUCCACCAUGAGUGGCUAAACACUUUCCUUUCUAGUUGAAGUUGGAAAAUUCAG